rnacentral:rRNA from 1 species
GAUGAACGCUAGCUACAGGCUUAACACAUGCAAGUCGAGGGGUAACGAGAGGAAAGCUUGCUUUCCUUGUCGACGACCGGCGCACGGGUGAGAAACGCGUAUCCAACCUGCCCCCAACUAGGGAAUAACCUUGCGAAAGUAAGACUAAUACCCUAUAAUUUCCUCAGAUGUCAUCUGACGAGGAAUAAAGAUUUAUCGGUUGUGGAUGGGGAUGCGUCUGAUUAGCUUGUUGGCGGGGUAAAGGCCCACCAAGGCAACGAUCAGUAGGGGUUCUGAGAGGAAGGUCCCCCACAUUGGAACUGGGACACGGUCCAAACUCCUACGGGAGGCAGCAGUGAGGAAUAUUGGUCAAUGGGCGGAAGCCUGAACCAGCCAAGUAGCGUGCAGGAUGACGGCCCUAUGGGUUGUAAACUGCUUUUAUACAGGAAUAAAGUUAGCCACGUGUGGUUAUUUGUAGGUACUGUAUGAAUAAGGACCGGCUAAUUCCGUGCCAGCCGCCGCGGUAA